AUUGGCUACGUCAGCGGAUGUAGACUUUGUUAACUGCAGCGGUAUUUUGUGCUCAACAUGUGCCAUCACCAGCAGCGCAAGCUUCCAAAAUAUGCAGGUGACAUUUCCACCUGGAUGACAGCACAUAAUCAGCAAGACGGCGAUGCCUUCAUCCGAGGGAAUGCCUGCMCAUUCUGAGAUGUUAGAUAAUCCCAGAUGAUCACGUCAUUUACAUUCCAGCCCUAACCUGGACGUUCUGCUUCUUCCUCCACACCACCCAGCGAUGCCCCCAAGAUGCUAAGUCAGAGCCUUGUCAGCUCCAGAUUUGACUACUUCAACUCACACCCUGCUGGACUCCCUGCAUUCUCAGAUUCCCCUCCACUGAUUUGCACYCUGGACGGGCUCCCUAUUGCAGCUCACAUUAUGUUCAGGAUGCUAAUUCUAGCCUACAGGGCCAGAAAAUGACCAGCUCCUUAAUACCUCUCGGCCUGGAUAAAGUGCUGUACUGUUGUUCUUUCUCUGUGAUCUACAAUUGUGUCAUUCUUGAAGUUGUCUUCUCUUUAAUGAUUCAGUGGACAUUCACCAAGACUUGGCUGUGUACUGUUGCCUAAUUGGUUGAAUGAGUUGAGCUGCAGGCAUCAUAACUGCACCGUCCCUUGCUKUUUGUAAACGCUGAUUCAAAAAGCACUUUGAUACUGAUUUACUUUUGUACUAGGAAUACCCAGGAAUACCUSUUGCUCUAUGUUUAUAAUAAAAACAUAUGUUUGCUGUGCUUUCCUCKAGCAGUGAACAGGUUAGGUAGCCGUUUUCUACUUUUUCUACUUUCAGAAUAUGGUAGAUUACAUCAUGAAAUACGACAUUUACCAUAACAUGUAUUUAUGGUUUCAGCAUAUACUGUACAAAUUGAUAACUUAUAAAUACAUUUGAUUUGCUAAAGGUACAUUMAUUCUUCCCUAAUCCUCUUUAUUCUCCCCUGUCUUUAUUUCUACAUUUAGUUMACCUCAAAUGAUACAACAGGUUUGCGUUGUCUUUUCAAUCAUAAUAUAUGGUAUUGUCUUGCCUCACAGAUAUCAUGAUAUACAAUAAAGACAGAAUGAACUGA